rnacentral:rRNA from 1 species
AAUCUUUGAACGCACCUUGCGCCUUUUGGUAUUCCAAAAGGCACACCUGUUUGAGUGUCAUGAAACCCUCUCACCAAUUAACUUUUUCAUUAAGGUUUUUUAGUGGAUGUUGAGUGUUGCUGUUUUAUAUAGCUCACUUUAAAUACAUGAGCUCCUUUUAUCAUUUGAUUUGGAUUGACUUGAUGUGAUAAAAGAAAAAUCUUCAUCAAGGAAGUGUGUAUGUUGUAUAUACAGCCAGUCAUUUUCUGAUAAAGAGGGCUACCAAACCCCAAGAAGAGUUUUUCAUCUUUAAAGUGAAAGAUUCUACUAUAUCUUUUAAGACCUCAAAUCAGGUGGAAUUACCCACUGAACUUAAGCAUAUCAAUAAGUGGAGGAAAAGAAACUAACAAGGAUUCCCC